rnacentral:rRNA from 1 species
AGCGAACGUUAGCGGCGCGCCUAACACAUGCAAGUCGCACGAGAGGGGGCAACCCCGAAAGUGGCGCACGGGUGCGUAACACGUAGAUAAUCUGCCCUUCAGCGGGGGAUAACGUUCCGAAAGGAGCGCUAAUACCGCAUACAGCAGCGAGUGGUUCGCCACUUGUUGGCAAAGGCUGGGAUCGCAAGACCAGUCACUGAAGGAGGAGUCUGCGGCCCAUCAGCUAGUUGGGGAGGUAAUGGCUCACCAAGGCAAAGACGGGUAGCUGGUCUGAGAGGAUGAUCAGCCACACUGGGACUGGAACACGGACCAGACUCCUACGGGAGGCAGCAGUGGGGAAUCUUGGUCAAUGGGCGCAAGCCUGAACCAGCGACGCCGCGUGAGUGAUGAAGGCCUUCGGGUUGUAAAGCUCUGUGGGGAGGGACGAAAGAAUCGGUUCUAACAGGACCGAAGUUGACGGUACCUCCUUAGCAAGCACCGGCUAACUCUGUGCCAGCAGCCGCAGUAAGAC